rnacentral:rRNA from 1 species
UGAGGAAUCUUGCGCAAUGGGGGCAACCCUGACGCAGCCACGCCGCGUGCCGGAAGACGGCCCUAUGGGUUGUAAACGGCUUUUGAUGGGGAAGAACCUUCGGGUUUCGACCUGAACUGACGGUACCUAUCGAAUAAGCACCGGCUAACUCCGUGCCAGCAGCCGCGGUAAUACGGAGGGUGCAAGCGUUGUCCGGAAUCAUUGGGUGUAAAGGGUGCGUAGGCGGAAGCCUAAGUCGGGGGUGAAAUCUUACCGCUCAACGGUAAAAUGGCCUUCGAUACUGGGUUUCUUGAGUCCGGAAGAGGCUGGUGGAAUUCGUGGUGUAGCGGUGAAAUGCAUAGAUAUCACGAAGAACACCGGUGGCGAAGGCGGCCAGCUGGUCCGGCACUGACGCUGAGGCACGAGAGCGUGGGGAGCGAACAGGAUUAGAUACCCCCGUAGUCC